GCCCCCGCUUCACAUCAGCCUGUCCCUGGUAGAGUACCUCUAUGACAUAUCUGCCCAUCCCAAUUGUGACCUUCUCAGCCGGAGAAGUCCCGUUCCUGGGAGCACAGUCAUGCCAGGACUGCACUGUGAAUGCCUCUCCAGGGAACUGCAAAGGCAGCGUCACUGAGAAUGCCUGUGGAUUCCUCAGGCCUACUUAUUCCUAAGAAUGAAACCUAUAAGCAUCCGCACCAAAAUAGGAUCGACUGCUGGCUACCUCUGCGUGGCUGUUUGUAUUCUGUUCUCUGAGCUUAUCGAUGUAGCACCAGGAUCACGUGACCAGCUGAUGAAUGCAAAGCCUAUUCUAAUACCACUCAAAUUUCAGGAAGGCCUUAAACUUUUUGAAGUCCAUCCCUGGUGCGGGAGGAUAAAAAUUCUAGAAUCAAGCACCAAACAGGGGAGCUGAAAUCUCGAGCCUAUCAACAGAAUUGACUAUGUGAGGAAACAGUUCUUGAAAAAAAGAAGCCAGUCUUAACCACCCUGAGGACCUCACAGCAAGCAGUGCCCAAUCUAACCUCCCUUUAUCCUGUCAUGAAGUAGUAAGAAAUAAUGCUAUUACCUGUAAAUGACCA